AACGUACCCUAUGAGUGGGGGAUAACGUAGCGAAAGUUACGCUAAUACCGCAUACGAUCUACGGAUGAAAGUGGGGGAUGCGCAAGCACCUCAUGCUCGUGGAGCGGCCGAUAUCUGAUUAGCUAGUUGGUAGGGUAAAAGCCUACCAAGGCAUCGAUCAGUAGCUGGUCUGAGAGGACGACCAGCCACACUGGGACUGAGACACGGCCCAGACUCCUACGGGAGGCAGCAGUGGGGAAUUUUGGACAAUGGGCGCAAGCCUGAUCCAGCAAUGCCGCGUGAGU
rnacentral:rRNA from 1 species